AUGCCUGUAGGAUCCGAUAAUGACACAAUUGAGGAUGACGAUGAAACGAGCAUGUCAUCUGCUAUACCUAGCGAGGUUGAUCCAUUAGACUUUGUCUACACAAACAUCCCAGACACCACUCACAUCCUGAAACUCGACGCAAACUUCAAACACUGCAAGGCCAAAAAGUUUGUGUCUGAGACUGACGGGUUCUUCUGUUGCAAUGGACAGAUCGAACUUAAACAACCGGAACCAGUCCCAGAGCUGAUGAGGCUAUGGUCCAACAUGGAUGCAAAUUCUAGACAUUUACAGGAGAACAUACGGUUCUUCAAUGAGCAUUUCUCCAUCACAACCCUUGGCGUCAUCCUUGAUGAGAAGUACACAAACAUGAAGUCUGGGGUGUACACAUUCUGGGCACACGGCACUAGCUACCACAAUGUGCACUCGUUCGGGCCUAACUCCCAUCCAGAACAUCUGCAAUUAUACUUCUAUGAUGACGACCUAACCAUAACUCAUCGUAAGGCGGCCACCAAGCAAUUAGACCAGGAUGUCUUUAAGAAGUUAGUAGACACUCAAAGAAAACCCGUACUCCCAGAAAUUUAG
rnacentral:rRNA from 1 species